UUAUCCUAUGGAACAUGGAGUGGCUUGAUGAUCUCUUCAAAUAUACAAAGGACGGUCAGACGGUUCAAUUCCGUCAGGAUUCA
rnacentral:tRNA from 1 species